rnacentral:rRNA from 1 species
AUUGAACGCUGGCGGCAGGCCUAACACAUGCAAGUCGAGCGAGCGGCGGACGGGUGAGUAAUGUCUGGGAAACUGCCCGAUGGAGGGGGAUAACUACUGGAAACGGUAGCUAAUACCGCAUAACAUCAGAUGUGCCCAGAUGGGAUUAGCUCGUAGGUGGGGUAAUGGCUCACCUAGGCGACGAUCCCUAGCGGGUCUGAGAGGAUGACCAGCCACACUGUAACUGAGACACGGCCCAUACUCCUACGGGAGGCAGCAGUGGGGAAUAUUGCACAAUGGGCGCAAGCCUGAUGCAGCCAUGCCGCGUGUGUGAAGAAGGCCUUCGGGUUGUAAAGCACUUUCAGCGGGGAGGCGUUACCCACAGAAGAAGCACCGGCUAACUACGUGCCAGCCGCCGCGGUAAUAC